AUUGAACGCUGGCGGCAUGCCUUACACAUGCAAGUCGAACGGCAGCGGGCCUUCGGGUGCCGGCGAGUGGCGAACGGGUGAGUAAUGCAUCGGAACGUGCCAUUGAGUGGGGGAUAACGUAGCGAAAGUUGCGCUAAUACCGCAUAUUCUGUGAGCAGGAAAGCAGGGGGCCGCAAGGCCUUGCGCUCUUUGAGCGGCCGAUGUCAGAUUAGCUAGUUGGUGAGGUAAAGGCUUACCAAGGCGACGAUCUGCAGCGGGUCUGAGAGGAUGAUCCGCCACACUGGAACUGAGACACGGUCCAGACUCCUACGGGAGGCAGCAGUAGGGAAUUUUGGACAAUGGGGGCAACCCUGAUCCAGCCAUGCCGCGUGAGUGAAGAAGGCCUCGGUUGUAAGACUCUUCGCCGGAGAAUACGCAUGGUG
rnacentral:rRNA from 1 species